rnacentral:rRNA from 1 species
GACGAACGCUGGCGGCGUGCUUAACACAUGCAAGUCGAACGGAAAGGCCCUGCUUUUGUGGGGUGCUCGAGUGGCGAACGGGUGAGUAACACGUGAGUACCUGCCCUUGACUUUGGGAUAACUUCAGGAAACUGGGGCUAAUACCGGAUAGGAGCUCCUGCUGCAUGGUGGGGGUUGGAAAGUUUCGGCGGUUGGGGAUGGACUCGCGGCUUAUCAGCUUGUUGGUGGGGUAGUGGCUUACCAUGGCUUUGACGGGUAGCCGGCCUGAGAGGGUGACCGGCCACAUUGGGACUGAGAUACGGCCCAGACUCCUACGGGAGGCAGCAGUGGGGAAUAUUGCACAAUGGGCGGAAGCCUGAUGCAGCAACGCCGCGUGCGGGAUGACGGCCUUCGGGUUGUAAACCGCUUUCGCCUGUGACGAAGCGUGAGUGACGGUAAUGGGUAAAGAAGCACCGGCUAACUACGUG